rnacentral:rRNA from 1 species
AAUGAACGUUGGCGGCACGGAUUAGGCAUGCAAGUCGAGCGAGAAGAGUUUUGAAGCUUGCUUUAGAACUCGGACAGCGGCGAAAGGGAGAGUAACGCGUAGUUAUGUGCCCUAGGGUCCGGAAUAGCCACGGGAAACUGUGGGUAAUGCCGGAUAAUAUCCCCGGAUCAAAGGUGUGAUUCCGCCCUAGGAGCAGACUGCGUCCUACUAGCUAGUUGGUGGGGUAAUGGCCCACCAAGGCAAUGAUGGGUAGCGGGUGUGAGAGCAUGACCCGGCUCACUGGGACUGAGACACUGCCCAGACACCUACGGGUGGCUGCAGUCGAGAAUCUUCGGCAAUGGGUGAAAGCCUGACCGAGCGAUGCCGCGUGCGGGAUGAAGGCCCUCGGGUUGUAAACCGCUGUCGUAGGGGAGGAAGGUUCCGUGAAGAGCGGGACUUGACCUAUCCUAGGAGGAAGUACGGGCUAAGUUCGUGCCAGCAGCCGCCGUAA